GCCCAUUAGCUAGUUGGCGGGGUAAAGGCCCACCAAGGCUACGAUGGGUAGCUGGUCUGAGAGGAUGAUCAGCCACACUGGGACUGAGACACGGCCCAGACUCCUACGGGAGGCAGCAGUGGGGAAUCUUGCGCAAUGGGCGAAAGCCUGACGCAGCAACGCCGCGUGCGGGAGGAAGGCCUUCGGGUUGUAAACCGCUUUCAGGGGAGACGAAGCUUCCAGGGUGAAUAGCCCUGUGGAGUGACGGUAUCUUCAGAAGAAGUCCCGGCUAACUACGUGCCAGCAGCCGCGGUGAUACGUAGGGGACAAGCGUUGUCCGGAAUUAUUGGGCGUAAAGCGCGUGUAGGCGGCCAAGUAAGUCUUGCGUGAAAUCCUGAGGCUCAACCUCAGGCCUGCGCGGGAUACUGCUUGGCUAGAGUCCGGAAGAGGAGAGUGGAAUUCCUGGUGUAGCGGUGGAAUGCGCAGAUAUCAGGAGGAACAUCCGUGGCGAAGGCGGCUCUCUGGGACGGUACUGACGCUGAGACGCGAAAGCGUGGGGAGCGAACAGGAUUAGAU
rnacentral:rRNA from 1 species